CAGCAGCCGCGGUAAUACAGAGGGUGCGAGCGUUAAUCGGAUUUACUGGGCGUAAAGCGUGCGUAGGCGGCUUCUUAAGUCGGAUGUGAAAUCCCUGAGCUUAACUUAGGAAUUGCAUUCGAUACUGGGAAGCUAGAGUAUGGGAGAGGAUGGUAGAAUUCCAGGUGUAGCGGUGAAAUGCGUAGAGAUCUGGAGGAAUACCGUUGGCGAAGGCAGCCAUCUGGCCUAAUACUGACGCUGAGGUACGAAAGCAUGGGGAGCAAACAGGAUUAGAUACCCGAGUAGUCCCUGUCUCUUAUAA
rnacentral:rRNA from 1 species